rnacentral:rRNA from 1 species
CGUAGGGUGCGAGCGUUAAUCGGAAUUACUGGGCGUAAAGCGUGCGCAGGCGGUUUUGUAAGACAGAUGUGAAAUCCCCGGGCUCAACCUGGGACCUGCAUUUGUGACUGCAAGGCUAGAGUACGGUAGAGGGGGAUGGAAUUCCGCGUGUAGCAGUGAAAUGCGUAGAUAUGCGGAGGAACACCGAUGGCGAAGGCAAUCCCCUGGACCUGUACUGACGCUCAUGCACGAAGGCGUGGGGAGCAAACAGGAUUAGAUACCCUGGUAGUCCACGCCCUAAACGAUGUCAACUGGUUGUUGGGUCUUUACUGACUCAGUAACGAAGCUAACGCGUGAAGUUGACCGCCUGGGGAGUACGGCCGCAAGGUUG